GCAAGUCGAGGGGUAACAGAGGUAGCUUGCUACUUGCUGACGACCGGCGCACGGGUGCGUAACGCGUAUAGAAUCUGCCUCAUACUGAGGGAUAGCCUUUGGAAACGAAGAUUAAUACCUCAUAGUAUCAUUUAGUGGCAUCAUUAAAUGAUUAAAGGUUACGGUAUGAGAUGAGUAUGCGUCCUAUUAGUUAGUUGGUAAGGUAACGGCUUACCAAGACUACGAUAGGUAGGGGCCCUGAGAGGGGGAUC
rnacentral:rRNA from 1 species